rnacentral:lncRNA from 1 species
UUCGACGUUACGCGCGACUAGAACUAUGGUCCGCUGGUUUAUACGCAAAUGUGAGUCAAGAAUCAGGGGCAUUUUAAUCGAUAUUAGAACGAGAAGGAGAGGUGCAGUGUGAACGCACAAGGAAACAAAUGAUGGGAGGGGGGGAGGGAAGAAGGAGUGUAUGUAUUUUCAGCACGAAAUUAAACAGGUGCAGUCACACCAGCACAAAUGCAGCGGCUCCCAUCAGAACUCCGCAGUUAAAUGUGCUUUGGCGAAAGUAGUACAAUGAUGGGUUACCUCCUGGGAAGUUCUCGUGUUUCACCCAUUUUCUUUUUUUUAGAUGUGCCGUUCGACGUUACGCGCGACUUUAAUUAUGGUCCGCAGAUUUAUUCGCAAAUGUGAGUCACGGCACUGUGGCAUUUUACUUGAUAUUUGAACGAGAACGAGAGGUGCAGUGUGCACGCACAAGGAAACAAAUGACGGGAGGGGGAAGAAAUGAGAAGGAGUUUAUCUAUCUGCAGCGCAAAAUUAAACAGGUGCGAUCAUAGCAGCACCAAUGCACCGAAUCCCAUCAGAACUCCGUAGUUAAGUGUGCUUGGGUGAGAGUAGUACUCGGAUGGGUGACCUCCUGGGAAAUCCUCGUGUCGCACUAAUUUUUUUGUUCAGACGGGUCGUUCGACGUUACGCGCGACUGGAACUACGGUCCACUAGUUUAUACGCAAAUGUGAGUCAAGAAACAGGAGCAUUUUAAUCGAUAUUAGAACGAGAAGGAGAGAUGCAGAGUGCAGGCAUAAGGAAACAAAUGACGGGAGGGGGGAUGGAGGGAGAAAAAGUGUAUGUAUUUGCAGUGUAGAAUGAAACAUGAGCAAUCAUACCAGCACCAAUGCAACGGAUUCUAUCAGAACUCCGCAAUUUAAGGGUGUUUGGUUGAGAGUAGCACUAGGAUGGGUGACCUCCUGCGAAGUCCUUAUAUUUCACCAAUUUUCUUAGGAAGUCCUCGUGUUGCACCCAUUUUUUUGCAGAUGAUUCUUUCGACGAUACGCGCGACUUGAAUUAUGGUCCUCAGGUUUAUUCGCAAAUGUGAGUCACGGCACCGAAGCAUUUUACUUGAUAUUAGAACGAGCAAGGGAGGUGCAGUGCGCACGCACAAGGAAACAAAUGACGGGAGGGGGAAGAAAGGAGAAGGAGUUUAUGUAUUUGCAGUGCGAAAUUAAAUGGGUGCGAUCAUACCAGCACUAAUGCACCGGAUCCCAUCAGAACUCCGCAAUUAAGUGUGCUUGGGCAAGAGUAGUACUCGGAUGGGUGACCUCCUGGGAAGGCCUCGUGUUGCACCAAUUUUUUUUCAGACGAGUCGUUCGACGUACGCGCGACUGGAACUGGGGUCCGCUGGUUUAUACGCAAUUGUGAGUCAAGAAGCAGGGGCAUUUUAAUCGAUAUUAGAACGAGAAGGAGAGGUGCAGUGUGAACGCACAAUGAAACAAUUGAUGGGAGGGGGAGGGAAGGAGAAGGAGUGUUUGUAUUUUCACCACGAAAUGAAACAGGUGCGAUCAUGCCAGCACUAAUGCAAC